rnacentral:rRNA from 1 species
GACGAACGCUGGCGGCGUGCUUAACACAUGCAAGUCGAGCGGUAAGGCCCUUUCGGGGGUACACGAGCGGCGAACGGGUGAGUAACGCGUGGGUGACCUGCCCUCAGCUCUGGGAUAAGCCUGGGAAACCGGGUCUAAUACUGGAUAUGACUCCAUGACGCAUGUUGUGGGGUGGAAAGCCUUGUGCGGCUGAGGAUGGGCCCGCGGCCUAUCAGCUUGUUGGUGGGGUGAUGGCCUACCAAGGCGACGACGGGUAGCCGGCCUGAGAGGGCGACCGGCCACACUGGGACUGAGACACGGCCCAGACUCCUACGGGAGGCAGCAGUGGGGAAUCUUGCGCAAUGGGCGAAAGCCUGACGCAGCGACGCCGCGUGAGGGAUGACGGCCU